GCAUCAGUGGUUUAGUGGUAAAAUCCAUCGUUGCCAUCGAUGGGCCCCGUGUUCGAUUCACGGCUGACGCA
rnacentral:tRNA from 1 species